UUUUAUAAGAAUCAAUUGAAAACUGACUCAGUAGAUUUUCUCUCUUGUUUUACACCUUGAGAGACGAUGCAUAGUUUUUUUAACGUUCAAUGAGUUAUUUGAUUAUCUACAACUAUUUAUUUAAAAAAAGGAGAUGUGGUAUAAUUGCCAAUGAUAAAUUUAUUACAGACAAUCGAAUAUCGUAUAAAGAACAGAUAUUGCAAUGAGAGUAAAACAACAAAACAUCAAAAUUAUGAAGUGAAAAAACAAAACCAACCAACAACUCUACAAUGCAACAUAUAGUUUUCAUACUUUUUUACAAUUGACUCCAUAGAAAAAAUAUACCAUUGCAUUGAUAUAUUGGAUAUCGUGGCCUUCGCUUACUUUAUGGGUCCCUAUACUUUAGAGUUAAGAUUCACUCAUGGUUAUGGUUUAAUACGGUGAUGUUUUUAUGUUAGGAUUAGGUUUUAGGGUUAGAGUUAAGUAUGGAUCUUUAUUGGUUGGCACCCCUGAAGUAAAAGAAGGCCGAUAUCAUAACUAGGACUACUAUAGUCUAAUAUUAUAUAACAAUCUUUAAGUCACUGUUUACCAAGUGAUAAGGUAGUUCAACUACAGCAUCACUAGAAUUUCAACACAGACGAUAACGUUGUGAAUGUGAAUACCUCACGGUCCAGAUGCACUCGACCUCAAUACUAAUUGACUAGGAUUGUUGUCAGCUUCCCUACCGAAUGUCAAUGGUUGACAGCCACACAAUAACAAAAUAGUGGAGUUUAAUAACAAUCAAUCAAUCAAACUAUUAUGUAGAGACUUUGAUAUUUUUUAACAACGAUUCCAAAAAGCGCAAAAUUGAGUACAAUUGUGUUCACAUUUUGAAGAUAUUAAAAUGAUACAUAAUUUAAUAUUAUCCUUCUGGUUUAAAAGCAUACACAUUAACAGCCGAAGGCAAUCAAUUGGUCUUCAAUGCAGCGAGAUAAUCCCGCACCCGGGGGCGUGUUUCAGGUUCCCCUAAACAAAAAUGUAUACUAGUAACAAGAUAAGGGACGUCACUCUGAACUCUGAAAUAUAUAAACGAAACUUAAUUAAAAAUCAUACAACACUAACAACGCCAGAGGAUGCUGACUUGGGAAAGAUGCAAAAAAGUGACGGGGUUAUACAUGUAUUUUUUUCUAAAAAUCUCAACCCUCCACCUAUACCUCUACGCAAAUAACCAUAGUAGGUGAAAUAAUAUUAAAGCAAACAUGUGCAAUCUUUAAUGACCUGAAAACCAUGUCGUAACUUCUCUCUAAUAAAGUCUGUUUACAGUUUUUUUUUUAGUUUUUGAGGUGAUUGCCGACAUUUUGUGCUUUAUAAAGGAUGUUAGCGUCGAAAGUUGCAUGUGAAAUACCGGAACGUAUAAGAGGUCAAAAUCAACUCCACUCUCAAGUAUAAGUUGCAUUGUUAAUAAACCAAACCCGUUUUUUCGGCUGUUGAUUGUGAGUUCGAACUUUUGUAUAAGCAUAUUUUAGUAACUUGAAGGUACCAGUCAUAAUCGAUGUUUACAAAUUUUCGUUUAAGUUUUACAGUAUCAUGAUGAAAUCUGGUUGUUUGAUUGUAAGCAUCAUCUGCAUAAUUCGUGUUUCUUAUGGCGGAAGACUCACUGGAAAUUGUCUGGCUAAAAAUGGUACAUGUGGGAAAAAGGGAGUUUCUUGUGAUAAUACGUUUGGUGAAGGAUGGAUAGAUACAGGAAACUGUUGUUAUGGAAAACCAUGUUGUAAAAUAGUUAUCAAAGAUUUAUGUAGAGGUACAAGCUACAGAUGUGGAUUUGAGCUAAAUUCUGAACCAUGUGUUUUUAGUCAAGCAGCCUAUGAUGAUUUUGAUUGGACACGACAUUCUG